rnacentral:rRNA from 1 species
CGGAGCCGCAGCGAAAGCGAGUCUGAAUAGGGCGUUUAGUACGUGGUCGUAGACCCGAAACCAGGUGAUCUACCCAUGUCCAGGGUGAAGUUCAGGUAACACUGAAUGGAGGCCCGAACCCACGCACGUUGAAAAGUGCGGGGAUGAGGUGUGGGUAGCGGAGAAAUUCCAAUCGAACCUGGAGAUAGCUGGUUCUCCCCGAAAUAGCUUUAGGGCUAGCCUUAAGUGUAAGAGUCUUGGAGGUAGAGCACUGAUUGAACUAGGGGUCCUCAUCGGAUUACCGAAUUCAGUCAAACUCCGAAUGCCAAUGACUUAUCCUUAGGAGUCAGACUGCGAGUGAUAAGAUCCGUAGUCAAGAGGGAAACAGCCCAGAUCGCCAGCUAAGGUCCCAAAGUGUGUAUUAAGUGGAAAAGGAUGUGGAGUUGCUUAGACAACUAGGAUGUUGGCUCAGAAGCAGCCACCAUUUAAAGAGUGCGUAAUAGCUCACUAGUCGAGUGACUCUGCGCCGAAAAUGUACCGGGGCUAAAUACACCACCGAAGCUGCGAAUUGAUACCAAUGGUAUCAGUGGUAGGGGAGCGUUCUAAGUGCAGUGAAGUCAGACCGGAAGGACUGGUGGAGCGCUUAGAAGUGAGAAUGCCGGUAUGAGUAGCGAAAGACGGGUGAGAAUCCCGUCCACCGAAUGCCUAAGGUUUCCUGAGGAAGGCUCGUCCGCUCAGGGUUAGUCAGGACCUAAGCCGAGGCCGACAGGCGUAGGCGAUGGACAACAGGUUGAUAUUCCUGUACCACCUCUUUAUCGUUUGAGCAAUGGAGGGACGCAGAAGGAUAGAAGAAGCGUGCGAUUGGUUGUGCACGUCCAAGCAGUUAGGCUGAUAAGUAGGCAAAUCCGCUUAUCGUGAAGGCUGAGCUGUGAUGGGGAAGCUCCUUAUGGAGCGAAGUCUUUGAUUCCCCGCUGCCAAGAAAAGCUUCUAGCGAGAUAAAAGGUGCCUGUACCGCAAACCGACACAGGUAGGCGAGGAGAGAAUCCUAAGGUGUGCGAGAGAACUCUGGUUAAGGAACUCGGCAAAAUGACCCCGUAACUUCGGGAGAAGGGGUGCUUUCUUAACGGAAAGCCGCAGUGAAUAGGCCCAAGCGACUGUUUAGCAAAAACACAGGUCUCUGCGAAGCCGUAAGGCGAAGUAUAGGGGCUGACACCUGCCCGGUGCUGGAAGGUUAAGGAGAGGGGUUAGCGUAAGCGAAGCUCUGAACUGAAGCCCCAGUAAACGGCGGCCGUAACUAUAACGGUCCUAAGGUAGCGAAAUUCCUUGUCGGGUAAGUUCCGACCCGCACGAAAGGUGUAACGAUUUGGGCACUGUCUCAACCAGAGACUCGGUGAAAUUAUAGUACCUGUGAAGAUGCAGGUUACCCGCGACAGGACGGAAAGACCCCGUGGAGCUUUACUGUAGCCUGAUAUUGAAUUUUGGUACAGUUUGUACAGGAUAGGCGGGAGCCAUUGAAACCGGAGCGCUAGCUUCGGUGGAGGCGCUGGUGGGAUACCGCCCUGACUGUAUUGAAAUUCUAACCUACGGGUCUUAUCGACCCGGGAGACAGUGUCAGGUGGGCAGUUUGACUGGGGCGGUCGCCUCCUAAAGUGUAACGGAGGCGCCCAAAGGUUCCCUCAGAAUGGUUGGAAAUCAUUCGUAGAGUGCAAAGGCAUAAGGGAGCUUGACUGCGAGACCUACAAGUCGAGCAGGGACGAAAGUCGGGCUUAGUGAUCCGGUGGUUCCGCAUGGAAGGGCCAUCGCUCAACGGAUAAAAGCUACCCCGGGGAUAACAGGCUUAUCUCCCCCAAGAGUCCACAUCGACGGGGAGGUUUGGCACCUCGAUGUCGGCUCAUCGCAUCCUGGGGCUGUAGUCGGUCCCAAGGGUUGGGCUGUUCGCCCAUUAAAGCGGUACGCGAGCUGGGUUCAGAACGUCGUGAGACAGUUCGGUCCCUAUCCGUCGUGGGCGCAGGAAAUUUGAGAGGAGCUGUCCUUAGUACGAGAGGACCGGGAUGGACGCACCGCUGGUGUACCAGUUGUUCUGCCAAGGGCAUAGCUGGGUAGCUAUGUGCGGAAGGGAUAAGUGCUGAAAGCAUCUAAGCAUGAAGCCCCCCUCAAGAUGAGAUUUCCCAUAGCGUAAGCUAGUAAGAUCCCUGAAAGAUGAUCAGGUUGAUAGGUUCGAGGUGGAAGCAUGGUGACAUGUGGAGCUGACGAAUACUAAUAGAUCGAGGACUUAACCAU